AACGAACGCUGGCGGCAUGCCUAACACAUGCAAGUCGAACGAGACCUUCGGGUCUAGUGGCGCACGGGUGCGUAACGCGUGGAAACCUGCCCUUAGGUUCGGAAUAACUCCCCGAAAGGGGUGCUAAUACCGGAUAAUGUCUUCGGACCAAAGAUUUAUCGCCUUUGGAUGGGCCCGCGUUGGAUUAGCUAGUUGGUAGGGUAAAAGCCUACCAAGGCGACGAUCCAUAGCUGGUCUGAGAGGAUGAUCAGCCACACUGGGACUGAGACACGGCCCAGACUCCUACGGGAGGCAGCAGUGGGGAAUAUUGGACAAUGGGCGAAAGCAUGAUCCAGCAAUGCCGCGUGAGUGAUGAAGGCCUUAGGGUUGUAAAGCUCUUUUACCCGGGAUGAUAAUGACAGUACCGGGAGAAUAAGCUCCGGCUAACUCCGUG
rnacentral:rRNA from 1 species